AGACGCCGUGGCUGUGGUGGCUGUGGUAUAGACCCUGCAGUUUGGACCCUGGCCUGGCAAUCACGCUUCUAGUCGCCUCGUCUGAUAAGGCCCUCCUCACACCCAGGAAUUCUGGGCUUGUUCCGACGGAGAUGGGAGCGGGGCCAGGUAGCCACGUGGAGGGAGCUGGGACUUGCCUCCACUGCGGGGGGUGGGGGUGGGGGGAAGGGCCACAGCUCGAUGAUGCCGGAGUCCUGUGUCCCUGAGCUUGCAUUUCUAGAGAGCCACCUCCUCUGUGAUGUGCCAGUUCCCUGGUCACCUAAGGAUGGGAGUUGUUUACCUGAAGACCCCACCUUACCCGCCCCCCACCCGCCCGUGAGGAGUGGGGGCUGGAGGAUGAGUCCAGUCACCCUUGGCCAGUGAAUUAAUAAACUGUGACUAUGCAAUGAAGCUUCCGUUAAAAACAAAACCAAAAAAGGAUGGGGUUUAGAGAGCUAAUGGGUUGCGAACAUGGAGACAGGGAGGGUUGUGGGAACCUCUGACUUAAAGCUGAUUGGUCAGAGGCACAGGGGACAACCUGGCCUAGUGAUUAGCAUGUGAAGUCGGGGAGUCUUGGAGACUGAGCCCUUAACCUGUGGGAUCUGACUCUGUCUCCGGGGAGGCCUGGUCAGAAUUGAGUUGAAUUGUAAAACAGCCAGCCAGCCAGUGUCCAAAAAUAUCUUGGUAGUGUGGAGACCGCCUCCCCCUGCCGCCAUAUUGGAAUUAGAUUCAUAAAGACGGGGUUAAAGCUGCUGGGUGGGGACCAGGACAUGAGAUAGCCACCAUGGAAAGCUCAGUCUGCUAAAAGUGAAGUCCUAUAUGAACAAAUAAAUGCAUCCCCCUCUCUGCCCUUUAGCAUCAGUGCCAGCCCCCUUAGCUCCACCCUGCCCUGUGCCCCCUCCCCUCAACACACACAGAGGAAUCUGGGCUUAAUGAGACCUGGGCUCUGGGGAAGGGAGAAGAAAGGAGACAAACCGGUUCAACAGGGAGGAAGGAUUCUUGCCAUUCUCUUCCCAGGCUGAGGACGGAAAGGAGUAGGGGAGCAAGUGAGGUGAGCUUGUGGAGGGAGAAGGAAGGGCCUCAGAAGGCUGGGUGCUCUCCCAUAAUGGACAGAAAUGGGUGCCGCUUUGUGUCCUUCAUUAUUCCAGCAGGAUUUCAAGAAGGCAGGCUGACUGGCCCCAUCUUGCAGGCCCGUGCAUGAGGAGAGGGCACGUGAAUUGCCUGAGGAGGACGGAGUUUGAUGGGGAGGAGAGAAGAAGCAAGGCAGUCAACAGAUUGAGCUGGGCACCAUGCAGAGCCAUGCCGACCCAGAUGCAAGGUGGGAGAGCCUGGUGCUGACGAGGGAUGGCCCCUCUGAAGGCUGAGGGGGUCCGAGGUUCUUGGAUGUCCUUCAGCAUUCUCUCGUCCAGGCCCCAACCCUCUGGGCUGCUCCCCGCCGUUGAACAAAGCAUCUUCCUAACACUCAGAGGUACAAGAAGACCCAGGAGACCGAAGACGCCAGGCCACCACAUGUCAGCAGUCCAGUCUCCUCACUUGACUCCUGCACUGGUCUGAUAGAAUGGCCACCACCCCCCCAUGCCAGGCUUCUGACGCCCCCCUGUCCUCCAGGGGUCCCAAGCCAGAUGGAGACCAUCCGCAUAUCCCCCGUGGUUUAGCUGCGCCACGGCUGGAAUUAUUUCCCAAGAAUUUGAUAGGAAAGUGUAAGAAAGGCAGAACUCUUCAAUAAGAGAAUACAAGAGCCAUCAGAGCUCAACUCCCUUAUUGGAGUCCAGCCACAGACUGGUGUGGCCGGCAGGAGUUCUAGUUCUGCGGCUUUAUCGCAGAACAUGAGGGGACUGGGUUCUGUUCUCUGUUCGCCCGACUCCCGGCAUGCCCGGCCUCUUACAGGUGUCGGAUGAAUAAAUGAACGGAUUGCCAGCAGA